UACAGAGGGGGCAAGCGUUGUUCGGAAUUACUGGGCGUAAAGGGCGCGUAGGCGGCCUUCUAAGUCGAACGUGAAAUCCCCGGGCUCAACCCGGGAACUGCGUCCGAUACUGGAAGGCUUGAAUCCGGGAGAGGGAUGCGGAAUUCCAGGUGUAGCGGUGAAAUGCGUAGAUAUCGUUUGGAACGCCAAAGGUGAAAACAGGUCGCUGGGGAUGAGCUGACGCUGAGACACGAAAGCCAGGGGAGCAAACGGG
rnacentral:rRNA from 1 species